AGGUGGACUAGAUGAAUUUAAGUAAAUCUAUUGUAUUUCGUAUAAAUAAGCAUCUGCUUAUACUUGAAAUAUAUAUAAUUUCAUCAUAAACUACAAAAUAGAAUGACAUAUAUAUUAUGAAGUAUUGGACCAUAAUGAUAGCAUGGGGAAGAAGAAUAUAAUGUGUGUUUAUUUAAGUAUGCAAAAAGCCUAUUACAAUUUACUGAAAAAUAAAAUAAAAUAAAAUGCAAACUGAAAGUUAUCUAUUAUUUGUCUAAGUGAGUCGCGACCAAGGUGGGUCUAGGUGGGCUAGUGAGGUGCCUAGGCAGGCUAGGCAGGUGUCUCAGCAGGUUUAGGUGUUUUUUCUUAAUUUUUAAAUGCCUAGGCAUUAUUCGGGGCAAUGGCCAGCCGCCUAGCGCCUAGGUGGGGAUUUUUAGAACAGUGGCUACUAAUAAUGUGGUUCAAAUUCACCUUUGGUGAGAAUCGAACUUAAGACCUCUCACUUACAAGCUCGCCAACACAUUUAAAAGAAGGAAAGAGGAGACGAUGCUGAGCCUCUAUUAAAUUAGGCUGAUAUAGGAAAUAGGCGUGGGCUUGGGUUGGGCGUGGGUUAGGCCUAGCGCUGGGCUUGGCCUACCUGCUGGAGAGUCAGACUAUUGCUGUUGCCUUGGGUCGUGGGGUGUUGAGUUGUGGUCUGGCAUCGCAUGCUUUUUUUAUAUCUCAUUCGAGUAGUCUUCUGAGUAUUUCUCUGGUAUUUUUGCGGAGGACUUUUUCAAUAUUCCUUGAUACAGCUACAAGAUCAAUGAAUAUCCUUCACCCAAGUAUUGUUAAGGCCGGUUUUCUAGUAAAGUUGGCUACUUUAAGGCUACUUUUGUUAAGAUAGGUUCUAAGGAGUUGUUCCACGAGUUCCUUGAGAUGUACAAGCAUGCAAACCCCUCCAAAGUUUGUAUGAAAUGAGUGAAGGAAGCAGUCAUGAACUAUAUGUUUAGGCUACUAAGGCAGGAAAGAGAGCCAUUAAGUUCCAUCCAUACUACUUCGUGCUCGAAUUCACCCUUCAUCUGUCACGCUUCCUUUAAUAGGGGAUCUGUUCUAUGAGAUGUACACAUGCUUACUACUCCUCGAAUGCAGUUUGUGCGGUAGUGGGGUUCUCGAACUUGAGCAAGUUCUUUGAUCUAGGCUUGACCAUUAACAAGUUUUGGCACUUCUGCGAGAUUGGCCACAAGGAUGACGUAAGGCAGUUGAGGUCUCGCUAUAAGAUUUUUUUACUCUUCGAGCAAGGGUGGUCAUGAAUAAGCUAAUGACACUUUGGAGGUCAAUGGAGAGUGGGAGUCUGACUCUUUGCCUAAGUUGCGUGUCCUAACUACAUUCAGUCUUUUGUUUGGAGUUUUUUUGUUGAGCUGCUCUUGACUUCAAGUUGUUGAAUGUCUUUUUUUACUUUCACAGAAUGAUUUAAGUAAAAUAAACUUAGCAAAAUAUUUCUUAAGGCAUCUAAGUCCUUCCAAGAAUAUAUAGGCACAUUCUGCCUCACAUUGAGCCAGGCCACUAUGCAUUGCAUUGCAGAGCAUGAAAAUUGUUGUGAGCAUGCAAUUGAGCCAAAUCAUAAAUAACUCCUCAAAUUGUUGUCGAAAAAAUGAGAAGUGUAUCAAACUCUGUUAUAAGGUAGGAAUUGCAAAAAAACUUGAAUAAUCAUUGACAUGCGAGGUCUUAAAUAAUCCAUUCACUACUUUAUCCUGAAUCUACCUUCAAUGGGGGCGAUAUGGCCUUUGUGAAGGGAAAUCUUAGAGAUUAAUAUGGGAUUUCGAAAUGACUAGCAUGCAUAUACAAUUCAAAAUUAAUAUACAUAAGCAACAGAAGCAUGUUAUCAAAUAAUAUCAAAGCUAUAGUCAUGCAAAUCCCCUUCAAGGUUCAUAGGUUUAUAUAUAAU
rnacentral:lncRNA from 1 species